UAGGGAAUCUUCGGCAAUGGACGAAAGUCUGACCGAGCAACGCCGCGUGAGUGAAGAAGGUUUUCGGAUCGUAAAACUCUGUUGUUAGAGAAGAACAAGGACGUUAGUAACUGAACGUCCCCUGACGGUAUCUAACCAGAAAGCCACGGCUAACUACGUGCCAGCAGCCGCGGUAAUACGUAGGUGGCAAGCGUUGUCCGGAUUUAUUGGGCGUAAAGCGAGCGCAGGCGGUUUCUUAAGUCUGAUGUGAAAGCCCCCGGCUCAACCGGGGAGGGUAAUUGGAAACUGGGAGACUUGAGUGCAGAAGAGGAGAGUGGAAUUCCAUGGGUGGCGGUGAAAUGCGUAGAUAUAUGGAGGAACACCAGUGGCGAAGGCGGCUCUCUGGUCUGUAACUGACGCUGAGGCUCGAAAGCGUGGGGGGCAAACAGG
rnacentral:rRNA from 1 species